UUGUUGUGGGUGAAUGUUGAAUGAUCCAUUAGCCCAUAUGUCAUGAGAUCCCAUGGAAGUCUAGGUGUGCCUGCUACGACUCUACGCCCCUGGCACUAUGACAGCCUAUGGAAGUCUAGGUGUGCCUGCUACGGCUCUACGCCCCUGGCAUAAGUAAGUAGCAUAGGGGCUAAUUGGUGACAAGUUCAUCCUUGUUGUGGAAUGUUUGUGUUAUGACGCAUUACAUGAAAGCAU
rnacentral:lncRNA from 1 species